UACGUAGGUGGCAAGCGUUGUCCGGAAUUAUUGGGCGUAAAACGCGCGCAGGCGGUCCUUUAAGUCUGAUGUGAAAGCCCACGGCUCAACCGUGGAGGGUCAUUGGAAACUGGGGGACUUGAGUGCAGAAGAGGAGAGUGGAAUUCCACGUGUAGCGGUGAAAUGCGUAGAGAUGUGGAGGAACACCAGUGGCGAAGGCGACUCUCUGGUCUGUAACUGACGCUGAGGCGCGAAAGCGUGGGGAGCAAACAGG
rnacentral:rRNA from 1 species